AGUGAACGCUGGCGGUAGGCCUAACACAUGCAAGUCGAACGGCAGCACAGUAAGAGCUUGCUCUUACGGGUGGCGAGUGGCGGACGGGUGAGGAAUACAUCGGAAUCUACUUUUUCGUGGGGGAUAACGUAGGGAAACUUACGCUAAUACCGCAUACGACCUACGGGUGAAAGCAGGGGAUCUUCGGACCUUGCGCGAUUGAAUGAGCCGAUGUCGGAUUAGCUAGUUGGCGGGGUAAAGGCCCACCAAGGCGACGAUCCGUAGCUGAUCUGAGAGGAUGAUCGGCCACACUGGAACUGAGACACGGUCCAGACUCCUACGGGAGGCAGCAGUGGGGAAUAUUCCGCAAUGGGCGAAAGCCUGACGGAGCAACGCCGCGUGAGUGAAGAAGGUCUUCGGAUCGUAAAACUCUGUUAUUAGGAAAGAACAAAUGUGUAAGAAACUCUGCACGUCUUGACGGUACCUAAACAGAAAGCCCCGGCUAACUACGUG
rnacentral:rRNA from 1 species